UUGCAUUGUGAGCUUCUUUGGAAAUAUAGAUUUUAAUUUUCUGAUACUGUAGAUGAAACUCAUUUUUAGAUGUAUUUUCUUUAUCUGAAAUGAUGAGUUAGUAAUCUUCCUGAAUUUCAGAAACAGUGUGAAUAUACCCUGAUAGGCUAAGCAUAUAUUAUUACCAUAUGCUUGCUAUAAAUGGAAUUAAGCAUGGCUAUGUAUUGGCUAGGGGAUUACUCAGAAUCAGUUUGAUGUACUGAUCAGCUGGGCUUUUAAAUACAAUACUGGCAUUGUUGUGUUGUGCUAUGCAGAUCACUGUCUCCCACCUGGGGAGGUCUGCCCCAUUAGGAAUUAAAUCUAGCUGGUGCUGCUGCAGCUGCAUUGGCAAAUGGGAGAGGGAAGGAGGCAGCAGCAUACAAACAGGACUAUUGUGCUAGGUGAAACUCAACACCAACUUGGCUAUGCAGGUUGUCUCCACCACUCUGUGUGUAAUAAUGGAUGUUUUGGACAAGGUCACAACUGUUGGACAAAUAUAUACAGGGAUAAUACACUCUGCAUGUCUGGAGCAGCACAUCUCUGGUGUCUGUAUUAGAGCUCAGAUCUCUUGAAUUCCGGUUCCUGGAUCUUUUGCUGAAUCAAUUGGUGAGAUAAGGCAGAUAUUUUCUAUAUUAUAUAUAAAAAAAUAAUAUAUAUAUAUAUAUAUAUACAUAUAUAUAUAUAUGUAUAUAUUUUCUUUAUUUUUUUCU
rnacentral:lncRNA from 1 species